AAAGAAAUCUUCAGGCUGAACUCCUGCAAGGCCAAAAAUGAAUCAAUAAACUAGACAACUAAUGUGUUCAAUAAAUAACAGAAGGAUUUUAAAUAAAUGUUAUAUGGCCAUUGCUUGGUGCAACAGCAAUAGUCUUAGGCUUGCAAGCAUAAGACUGCAGGUAUGAGUCCAGAUAGCAAACACUUCUAGUGAAAUACUUGAGGAUAGAGCUUUCUCUAAUUUUGUGUCCUAGGCCACUUGGAUAGAAACAAUAACUGGGUAAUGACUUAAUCUGAUAAAUGUCAUGAUGACCGGAAAAUAAGUUGCACAGAAACAGAAAUAAAUAAAUAUGGAAAAGAAAAUAAAUACAUAAAUAAAGGCAAUAGAUAAAUGUGUUUAAAACAAUACUUUCCAUGAACUUGA
rnacentral:misc_RNA from 1 species